rnacentral:rRNA from 1 species
UACGAGGGGGGCAAGCGUUGUUCGGAAUUACUGGGCGUAAAGGGUUCGUAGGUGGCCAACUAAGUCAUACGUGAAAUCCCUCAGCUUAACUGGGGAACUGCGUCUGAUACUGGUUGGCUUGAGUGCAGGAGAGGAACGCGGAAUUCCAGGUGUAGCGGUGAAAUGCGUAGAUAUCUGGAGGAACACCGGUGGCGAAGGCGGCGUUCUGGACUGCAACUGACACUGAGGAACGAAAGCCAGGGGAGCAAACGGG